AACCAAACUCAGGGUCCUCUGCAAGAGCAGUGCACACUCUUAACCACCGAGCCAACUCCCCAGCCCAUAUUGUAAAGUUUCGAGUUUCAAGCGUAUUGGUGUUUUGUCUGCAUGGAUGUCUGUGCACCACACGUGUGCCCAGAGAUGAAGAGAGCAUCGCAGGGAACUGGAAUUAUUGCUGCUCCUGAGCUGCUGGUGAAUGCCAGGAGUGGAAUCCCCUCUCCUAGCUGAGCCCUCUCUCCAGGCCCUUCUUUCUUUCAAUGUUUCUUACUUGUACUUAUUUUGGGUGUGUUCCCACGCGUGUGUGCUCAGUGCGUGCGAUGGUCAGAGGGCAGUUUGCAAGUGUCUGCUCUCUCCUUCCAUCUGCGCAAACCACAGAGGUAACUGGCUGCUUCAAUAUUGCUUUUAUAUAGAAAUAUUUUCACAUAAGAACUCUAAAGUCACAAUAAAAGGGCUACGUGUGUCUGGCCUGGGGCCUCCCUCCUCUCCCAAGGACUUCCCCCACAGAUGAGCCCCACUGAUCUGCUAUACUCCCACCAGCUGCUCCCAGAAGCUACCCUGUGACCUCAGAUAUAAUGGCAUCAUUAUAGGAACAUAAUCAAACUCCAUCAUAAAUUCCAUUUCUACUGUUGUGAAAACCAAUGAAGCAGAUUCUCCGCUGAGAAGCCCAUACCCCUGGGGCAGGUGAGAUAAGUCAGUGGGGAGAAAUCACAUAUGGGCAAGCCUGACAACCUGGGUUCCAUCCCUGGGACCCACAUGGGGAAGAAGAGAACCAACUCUCACAGACUGUCCUUUGACCCUCUCCCCCCACACAACACCUGCACGCACUCGCGCAGAUAGACACAUAAACAUAAUAGAAAGGCCACGCCCACGUCUGAGGUGUGGGUUACUUUCUUCUCAAGUGUCUCUUUCUUUACCCCUGUGCUCAAAAUCCACGCAAUAAACUCCAACUUAGGCCAGUAAGUUGCUCAGUGGGUGAAGACACCACCAAGCCUGACAACCUGAAUUCAAUCCCUAAAAUACACAUGUGGAAUGGAAGGACUGGCUCCUGGGGUGUCCUCAUGUGUACGCAUGUGCCCACAUACAUGCACAUAAAUAAUUUUUUAAUUAACAAGGUCUGUCAAGAUGGCUCAGUGGGUAAAGGUGUUCCCAGCUGAGUCGGAUGACCUGAGUCCAAACUCUGGGACCCACAGGGUAGGAAGAGAAAACCAAAUACCUCUGAUCUCCAUACAUGUGCCAUGCUGUGUGUACAAACACAAAAUAAAUGUGAUCGAAACAAAACAAAACAAACGUCCAAUUCCACUGCACACUGGCAUGUCAUGAAAUCCAGUUUUACCUGAACGGAGGUCCCUAAGAGAUGAAGGAAUUCUGAGGAUGCCAUGGGCGGCAGUGUGGAGCCUCUUCCUUGCUGCUGACUUAUAUGAAGGCCGCCCUCUGUGCACACACUGGCCCUGAUCCCAGACAGAGACACACACAUUGGAGGUUAUAUCAGGUAGGAUUUAAUCAGCGCUCACCAGACUGUGUCUACAUCUCCGAGACAAUUACCAUAAAAAUCCAUACAUGCACCUUCCAUCAUAGUCUCUACACACAUAUGUAAGAGGUAGACAAUUCAUUGCCCCCAUAUGUCAGACGAGGAAACCAAGACACAGAGAAAGCACCAGGCUUGCCCCAGUCACAAGAAGAGGGAGGUAGAGGAGGCCCAGCUGGAUGACUGAUAACUCUCAGAGACUGGAGACUGUCCGCUUCCUUGAGGGCAUGUAUUUGCAGACAUCAGUGUAGACAGCCGGGUGCGGGGUAGCACCACAAGGGUAAAUGCCCCACGAGAGGAUGCCAUGCAGGGUGUUGUCACACACCAGUGGGCCACCAGAGUCACUCUGAGGACGGGAGGAAGGAGACAUCAUGAGCAGUGGGCGGCCGUGAGCACCCAGUUCCGGUCGACGAGGACACCCGCGCACUGGAACUGGAGGCUCACCCCAGAGUUGCACCAUCAGUAGCGGCAGCAGCAACUUCACUAGGGCCAAGGCACCAGAGGAGGAGAAGUAGAGGAGUGGGACACUCAUGGCUGACACCUGGCUUGCCGAUGCCGGACCGAAUGGAGGGCUAAAACGGAUGUUCCCCGUCAAGACCCCUGCCUCAGCGCGCCUGGGAUACCUCAGCAGGGCCUCUCCAGGGACCCUCAGGACUUCAGUCCUGCUCCUCCAGAAGGGGGCGAUUUGUGCACCCAGUCUUUCUUGGCCACCAGCCACGCUGAGCCCCAGGUGACACGCAAGCUGGUGAAUCACAGGAGGCCCAGGCUGCAAGGGGCAGGCCACAUCACUUCAGCUAACACCCUCAUUUUGGGUGAGGAAUGGGAGGCUCAGAGAGGGUUGUGACUCAUAAGAGGUCACACAGCAAGCAAGUCCGCCUAACAACCAGAAGAUUCUAUCUAGUUCCAGCUCUGAGUUCUUCCUUGUGCCAGCGAUCUCUCUCCAAGAGCUGGGCAGAACGUCUGUGUUACCUGGGGAAUCUUGUGCCUGGCUCAGCCCUGUCCAGAGCUUUUGCUACAGACUAUGUUAUAGCAGCCACCAGCCACAUGCGGCUACGGAGCCUUUGAAACAUGUCAAAGCUGCUAGGAAUUUCCGUUCUGCUUUCGGGUCCUUUGACUGCAGAUACCAAUCAAAUCUGACCUCAGUGACCUGAAUCCGGGCAGUUUGAAAAUGAAGGCAGCCUUCUUUCUACCUCUUUCUCCACGCAUGCAGACGCGCUCACUGUUAUUACACUUGCGCAUGAGCUGAACUGAGUUCUUUCUGCCUGGCCUGCAAGAUGGCUUGGUGGGUAAGGGCACUUGCUGCCAGCCCGAUUGGACCCUACGUGGUGAAGGAGAGAACUGACUUUACAAGUUGCACACUUCCGCAUGUGUGCCGUGGCAUGAGCACCCCCUCCAUGAAUGAGUAAAUGUAAAAAUAAAAAUUUAA